AUGCAAGCAUGUAGGCCUGUCAUUUGUUUGGAUGGAUGCCACUUGAAGACAAAGUAUGGAGGUGUUAUGUUGUGUGCUGUUGGCAUGGAUCCUAAUGACUGCAUUUACCCUCUAGCUUUUGCUGUUGUUGAGGUAGAGAACACUGACACAUGGAAAUGGUUUCUGUCAAACCUGAAGAGUGACUUGGGAAUUAUCAACACAGAGCCAUGGACUAUAAUGUCAGACAAGCAAAAGGGGCUGAUCAAGGGAGUGAGGCAGCACUUUCCCGAGGCAGAGCACAGACACUGUGUUAGGCAUAUUUGGCAGAAUUUUCAGCAAACACACAAAGAAGAUGUUCUUAAGAACCAGUUAUGGAAGUGUGCAAGGAGCACAACACCAGAGCUGUGGGCUGCAAGCAUGGAGGAGAUGAAGGUCAUCAGCAUAGAAGCAUACAAAUGGCUUGAGCAGCUACCACCCAACACUUAG
rnacentral:rRNA from 1 species